UGCAAGAUCAAGAUGGCAAUUCUGAAUGCUGAACUUCUUUUAGAAAGACCUUAGAAGAAGCACUCCUGCGCUGUCUAGAAAAGAAUCGGUUAGGAGGUUCUUGCACUCUAGUUGCUUCUGGAUUGUAUCAAGCUUCUCUUGAGACUUCGCAAACAACUGUUCACCUUGUUACAGCCAGAGUGCACAAUAACAAAUCAAGGGGUGACUGUCACUCGCCUGCCCCAGGAAGCCUGGAGAAGCUCCAUGGUGACAAAAGAGCUGCCAGGUCAAACUAUUAAAUAAGCCUCCAUUAGACUGA